CCCCUUUGGCCUCGACCUCGACGACCCUCGCAGCUCUGCGCGACCCCCUCCCUGCAACACAAGUAUGAUUUUUUUUUAAAAAAAUUAUUUUACAAUAAUAUUUAUAAUAAUUUUAUAAUUAAUAAUAUUUAAAGAGAACCCCCGUCGGUGGGUUCUGGGCCAUGCCUGCAAGUUUUGAAUCAUGCCGGUGGAUUUUGGAUCGUCGGUUCUGGACUGGA
rnacentral:lncRNA from 1 species